GAUGAACGCUGGCGGCGUGCCUAAUACAUGCAAGUCGAACGCACAGCGAAAGGUGCUUGCACCUUUCAAGUGAGUGGCGAACGGGUGAGUAACACGUGGAUAACCUACCUCAAGGUUGGGGAUAACAUUUGGAAACAGAUGCUAAUACCGAAUAAAACUUCGUAUCGCAUGAUACAAGGUUAAAAGGCGCUACGGCGUCACCUAGAGAUGGAUCCGCGGUGCAUUAGUAGUUGGUGGGUAAAGCCUACCAAGACAAUGAUGCAUAGCCGAGUUGAGAGACUGAUCGGCCACAUUGGGACUGAGACACGGCCCAAACUCCUACGGGAGGCUGCAGUAGGGAAUCUUCCACAACGGGCGAAAGCCUGAUGGAGCAACGCCGCGUGUGUGAUGAAGG
rnacentral:rRNA from 1 species